GAGAGUUACAGUACGUGAAUUGUUAAAAGGGAAACAUUUGAAGUUAGACUUGUUAUUGUUGGUUCAACUUUUUUUAAAAGGUGUAUUCCAAUGGUUAACAGACCAGCAUCAAUUUUUGGGUGUUAGAUAAGGGUCUUGAGAAUGUAGCAAUUUUGGUUGUGUUAUAGCUCAUGACUUUGAUAUAAUGCUUAGGAUUGAGGAACGCAGUGAGCUUUUCAUUAAGUGGAUGCCUUUGGGGAUCUUCUCACUAUGGAUGUUGGUGUAAUAGCUUUAAAUGACCCA
rnacentral:rRNA from 1 species